AAGGGGAGGGGGAGGAGCGGUGAAAGCGGAAGCCAUGUUGGAGUUUCACCCCGAGCGAGGGGCUGCGAGGGUUCUCCUCUCCUUGUGGGUGUGACCGAGUUCGGCGCGGUGGCGGGCUGCGAGGGGCGGGGACGGUUGGGCCGUUCGUCGUCGUCCGCAGCGGCGUGAGGGGAGCGGCGGCGGCGGCGGCGGCGGCGGCGGUGGCCGCAGCAGCGUGGAGCCGGGCGAUUGUGACCGCCGGGGGAGCCGGGGUCCGGCCGCGGCGCCCUCUCUCCGUGUGGCCCCCUGAGCGCGCCCCCCCUCCCCUGCCCGGGAGGGAGGCUGGGGGCACCUGGGGCCCGCCAUGAACCCCGGCUUCGACCUGUCCCGCCGGAACCCGCAGGAGGACUUCGAGCUGAUUCAGCGCAUCGGCAGCGGCACCUACGGCGACGUCUACAAGGCACGGAAUGUUAACACUGGUGAAUUAGCAGCAAUUAAAGUAAUAAAAUUGGAACCAGGAGAAGACUUUGCAGUUGUGCAGCAAGAAAUUAUUAUGAUGAAAGACUGUAAACACCCAAAUAUUGUUGCUUAUUUUGGAAGCUAUCUCAGGCGAGAUAAGCUUUGGAUUUGCAUGGAGUUUUGUGGAGGUGGUUCUUUACAGGAUAUUUAUCAUGUAACUGGACCUUUGUCAGAGCUGCAGAUUGCAUAUGUUAGCAGAGAAACACUGCAGGGAUUGUAUUAUCUUCACAGUAAAGGAAAAAUGCACAGAGACAUAAAGGGAGCUAACAUUCUAUUAACGGAUAAUGGUCAUGUGAAAUUGGCUGAUUUUGGAGUAUCUGCACAGAUAACAGCUACAAUUGCCAAACGGAAGUCUUUCAUUGGCACACCAUAUUGGAUGGCUCCAGAAGUCGCAGCUGUUGAGAGGAAGGGGGGUUACAAUCAACUCUGUGAUCUCUGGGCAGUGGGAAUCACUGCCAUAGAACUUGCAGAGCUUCAGCCUCCUAUGUUUGACUUACACCCAAUGAGAGCAUUAUUUCUAAUGACAAAAAGCAAUUUUCAGCCCCCUAAACUAAAGGAUAAAAUGAAGUGGUCAAAUAGUUUUCAUCAUUUUGUGAAAAUGGCACUUACCAAAAAUCCGAAAAAAAGACCUACUGCUGAAAAAUUAUUACAGCAUCCUUUUGUAACACAACAUUUGACACGGUCUUUGGCAAUCGAGCUGUUGGAUAAAGUAAAUAAUCCAGAUCAUUCCACUUACCAUGAUUUCGAUGAUGAUGACCCUGAGCCUCUUGUUGCUGUACCACAUAGAAUUCACUCAACAAGUAGAAAUGUGAGAGAAGAAAAAACACGCUCAGAGAUAAACUUUGGCCAAGUGAAAUUUGAUCCUCCCUUAAGAAAGGAGACAGAACCACAUCAUGAACUUCCCGACACUGAUGGUUUUUUGGACAGUUCAGAAGAAAUAUACUACACUGCAAGAUCUAAUCUGGAUCUACAACUGGAAUAUGGACAAGGACAUCGAGGUAGUUACUUUUUAGGUGCAAACAAGAGCCUUCUCAAGUCUGUUGAAGAAGAAUUGCAUCAGCGAGGACAUGUGGCACAUUUAGAAGAUGAUGAAGGGGAUGAUGAUGACUCUAAACAUUCAACUCUGAAAGCAAAAGUUCCACCUCCUUUACCACCAAAGCCUAAGUCUGUCUUCAUACCACAGGAAACGCUUUCUGCUGAGGAUGAUAAUCAAGGAACAAUCAAGAGAUGUCCCUUGUCAGGGAGCCCAGCAAAGCCAUCCCAAGUUCCACCUAGACCACCACCUCCCAGAUUACCCCCACAAAAACCUGUUCCCUUAGGAAAUGGAGUGAGCUCCUUCCAGUUAAAUGGUGAACGAGAUGGCUCAUUACAUCAACAGAAUGAACAUAGAGGCACGAACCUUUCAAGAAAAGAAAAGAAAGAUGUACCAAAGCCUAUUAGUAAUGGUCUUCCUCCAACACCUAAAGUGCAUAUGGGUGCAUGUUUUUCAAAAGUUUUUAAUGGGUGUCCCUUGAAAAUUCACUGUGCAUCAUCAUGGAUAAACCCAGAUACAAGAGAUCAGUACUUGAUCUUUGGUGCCGAAGAAGGGAUUUAUACCCUGAAUCUUAAUGAACUUCAUGAAACAUCAAUGGAACAGCUAUUCCCUCGAAGGUGUACAUGGUUGUAUGUAAUGAACAAUUGCUUGCUAUCAAUAUCUGGUAAAGCUUCUCAGCUUUAUUCCCAUAAUUUACCAGGGCUUUUUGAUUAUGCAAGACAAAUGCAAAAGUUACCUGUUGCUAUUCCAGCACACAAACUCCCUGACAGAAUACUGCCAAGGAAAUUUUCUGUAUCAACAAAAAUCCCUGAAACCAAGUCGUGUCAGAAGUGUUGUGUUGUAAGAAAUCCUUAUACAGGCCAUAAAUACCUAUGUGGAGCACUUCAGACUAGCAUUGUUCUAUUGGAAUGGGUUGAACCAAUGCAGAAAUUUAUGUUAAUUAAGCACAUAGAUUUUCCUAUACCCUGUCCACUUAGAAUGUUUGAAAUGCUGGUAGUUCCUGAACAGGAGUACCCUUUAGUUUGCGUUGGUGUCAGUAGAGGUAGAGACUUCAACCAGGUGGUUCGAUUUGAGACGGUGAAUCCAAAUUCUACCUCUUCGUGGUUUACAGAAUCAGAUACCCCACAGACAAAUGUUACUCAUGUAACCCAGCUGGAGAGAGAUACCAUUCUUGUAUGCUUGGACUGUUGUAUAAAAAUAGUAAAUCUCCAAGGAAGAUUAAAAUCUAGCAGAAAAUUAUCAUCAGAACUCACCUUUGAUUUCCAGAUUGAAUCAAUAGUAAUUGAGCUGUUCUUGCCUGCUAGUUUGCCUACAAGACAGUGUGCUGGCUUUCUGGAAACAUGGAAUGCAAGGUAGAAGUUUUAGAUCUAAUGAGGUAACACAAGAAAUUUCAGAUAGCACAAGAAUUUUCAGGCUGCUUGGAUCUGACAGGGUCGUGGUUUUGGAAAGUAGGCCAACUGAUAACCCCACAGCAAAUAGCAAUUUAUACAUCCUGGCGGGUCAUGAAAACAGUUACUGAGAAUUGUUGUGCUUUGACAGUUAACUCUAGAAAGAAAGAACACUACCGCUGCAACAUUAAUGGAUGCUUGAAGCUGUACAAAAGCUGCAGUAACCUGUCUUCAGUUACUUUGUAAUUUAUUGUGGCAUGAGACAAGAGGGGGAAAAUUUUGUUUUAAGUGGUAUGGAUAUAUUUAGCAUAUUGAACCACACAAGUGCUUAAUUCAUUGUUAUGUAAUCUUUGUACAUAUAGGCAGUAUUUUUUCUGUGCAACUUCAUAUUGCUGAAGACAUACACUAAGAAUUGAUGUAGAUAAUGUACUUUUAUGAGAUGUACAAGUAAGUGUCUUAUCUGUACAGAUGUAAAUGUUGAUGAAAAUGCAAUUGGGGUUAAUAUUUUAAGAAUUCUUUAGUAUAUUCUUGGGUGUGGCUAUAUUACAAAAUGGGAUGCUGGCAAUGAAACAAUACACUUAACACUAUUGUAUUUUUAUUAUAUGUAAUUUAGUAAUAUGAAUAUAAAUCUUGUAACUUUUAAAAUUGUAAUGGAGGCUGUAAUCAUUUUAUAAUCGUUUUUAAUUUUAAUGCAAGUACACUGGUGUUUAUAUUUGCACAAAGUAUUGAUAUGUGAUGUAUUAAGUCACAAAAGUAAGCUGUGACACUGUCUAUAAGCAUUUGGCUCUACAGAUGUAUUUGGAUUGUUUUCUAUGUGAAGCAAACCAAUUACAAUUAACCAACUGUUGUAGUAACUGGUCUUUUUAUAUUUAAGCAGAAUCCUGUAAUACUGCUUGUCUUUGCUUAAAAACAAUACCUUUGAACAUUUUUGAAUCACAGAAUAGCGGUACCGUGAUAUAAUACUGCAGUUGUGGUCUGAAUUACAGUAUGCACAAAGAAUUAAUUAGCAUUAUUAAAGAGUCCUCACUAAACAUUUCAUAUAAUCACAUUGAAGAACUGUAACAUUCCAUAGAGUGAAGUGGUUCAAAUGUCUCGUGGAAUUUUUACUUUUGUUGGCCUUAUUUUAUGAUCCUUUUCAUAUUUCUUUUGAUUGAGAGUAUUAAAACAUGGCCAAAAUGAUUUAGUUACUACCUCAUACAAACAAUAUAAUGGUUACUACACAUCACAGGAACUUAGUUUUGGUUUAAGUCAUUUUUGAUUGCUUUUUUCCAAUGGAAUAUGUAUAUACCAAGUUUUAGCAAAAUGCACACUUUUGGCUCUUUUUGGUAUACGUUCUUUAUAUUUUAAUGUGAGUAUAUACAUUAAGAACAAACUAAAUUGUGAUUUAUGGUCUUCAGUUAUUUUAAUUGAUAAUGGUUUUAAAAUAUGUUCCUGAUUGUACAUAUUGUAAAAUAAACAUGUUUUUUAACAUGCUGUUGUAUAGUAGCUUGUCAUGUGGCUUAAUCUGUAUAUAGUAACACUAAAAUACAUUAAGGGGGAAAACUUCAUUUGUUUUGUAGUUAAAUUCUUAAGUACUCAAUUUUGGUCCCUCAAAUCAUGAUUUUUAUUUGAUCUGUGAUUUCAAUUUCAUGAAGCAUUAAUAUUUCCACAUAGGAGAAUAGCACAUCUUUUGUAGAAUCUUCAGUUUCCUGAUAAGAAAAGUCAAACAUUCAUAAGUUUUCUGGUUAGAGACAGGGGUCCACAAGCUACGGUCCUCAGACCACUCCAGCCUACUGUCUGUUUUUGUAAAUAAACUUUUAAUGGAGCACAA